AGAGAGAGACAUGCGCGCAUAUCAAUAAGCGGAGGAAAAGAAACUAACAAGGAUUCCCCUAGUAACGGCGAGUGAAGCGGGAAGAGCUCAAAUUUGAAAUCUUCAAGGUUCUACCUUGACGAAUCGUAGUUUAAAGAAGUGUUUUCUGUUGGAGUUUUGGUAAAAGUUCUUUGGAAUAGGACAUCAUAGAGGGUGAGAAUCCCGUAUUUGACCAUUAUCUUCCAGCUUUGUGAUACACUUUCAAAGAGUCGGAUUGUUUGGGAAUGCAGUCCAAAAUGGGUGGUAAAUUUCAUCUAAAGCUAAAUAUUGGCGAGAGACCGAUAGCGAACAAGUACCGUGAGGGAAAGAUGAAAAGAACUUUGAAAAGAGAGUUAAACAGUACGUGAAAUUGUCAAAAGGGAAGCGUUUGACACCAGUGUCGUUUUCUCGAAAAUCAAUUAAAAAUGGUGGGAUUUUGUGUUGUAUUGACUUUAUCAGCUUUCUGCACUUUUUUCCUGUCUUUUUUAAUGCACUUUUCGUUUAACAAGUCAACAUCAAUUUCUUUUGUUGUAAAAGGGUCAUUGGAAGGUGGCUUUCUUUUCGGAGAAAGUGUUUAUAGCCUUUGGCUUCUGCGAUCGGAGAGAUUGAGGUCUGCAGCGUAGACUCUUCGGGGUUAGAUACAUUUGUGCUAAGUUAUAGCUUUUCAUAGACAACUUGUUGACUAUGUUUAGUCUUGUGGCUUACUCGCUUAUGCUAUUUUACCUACGCUUAGGAUGUUGACAGCAGUAUAGACUG
rnacentral:rRNA from 1 species